rnacentral:tRNA from 1 species
GCGGAUGUGCUGGAAUAGGUAGACAGGCACGUUUGAGGGGCGUGUGUCAACCGACGUGUGAGUUCAAGUCUCAUCAUCCGCACCA